rnacentral:lncRNA from 1 species
UUAUAUAUACUUAAUCAAACUACCAAAUUAAACCAAAUCUCAUGACUAUAUAAAUACAAACCAAAACACAAUCAUUCACAAGCCAUCCCAAAUGGCAAAACUCAGUAACAAAAUAUAACCAAAUUGACCAUAGUCCCUAUACAUGCCAUAUGACCAAACCAAGAGCUCAAAAGUACCAAUGUGAUGGUUGGAUAGUGUGACAUAUUCUCCGAC